rnacentral:rRNA from 1 species
AACGAACGCUGGCGGCAGGCCUAACACAUGCAAGUCGAGCGAGGACUUCGGUCCUAGCGGCGGACGGGUGAGUAACGCGUGGGAACGUGCCCUUUGCUUCGGAAUAGCCCUGGGAAACUGGGAGUAAUACCGGAUGAGCCCUUUGGGGGAAAGAUUUAUCGGCGAAGGAUCGGCCCGCGUUGGAUUAGGUAGUUGGUGGGGUAAUGGCCUACCAAGCCGACGAUCCAUAGCUGGUUUGAGAGGAUGAUCAGCCACACUGGGACUGAGACACGGCCCAGACUCCUACGGGAGGCAGCAGUGGGGAAUCUUAGACAAUGGGGGAAACCCUGAUCGAGCCAUGCCGCGUGAGCGAUGAAGGCCUUAGGGUUGUAAAGCUCUUUCAGCUGGGAAGGUAAUGACGGUACCAGAAGAAGAAGCCCCGGCUAACUCCGUG